AUUGAACGCUGGCGGCAUGCUUUACACAUGCAAGUCGAACGGUAACAGGCCUUCGGGUGCUGACGAGUGGCGAACGGGUGAGUAAUGCAUCGGAACGUACCCAGAGGUGGGGGAUAACGCAGCGAAAGCUGUGCUAAUACCGCAUGUGAUCUGAGGAUGAAAGCGGGGGACCGAGCAGCAAUGUUUGGCCUCGCGCCUUUGGAGCGGCCGAUGUCGGAUUUGCUAGUUGGUGGGGUAAAGGCCUACCAAGGCGGCGAUCCGUAGCUGGUCUGAGAGGACGACCAGCCACACUGGGACUGAGACACGGCCCAGACUCCUACGGGAGGCAGCAGUGGGGAAUUUUGGACAAUGGGCGCAAGCCUGAUCCAGCAAUGCCGCGUGCGGGAAGAAGGCCUUCGGGUUGUAAACCGCUUUUGGCAGGAACGAAACGGUGUCCGCUAAUACCGGGCGCUAAUGACGGUACCUGCAGAAUAAGCACCGGCUAACUACGUG
rnacentral:rRNA from 1 species